rnacentral:rRNA from 1 species
GACGAACGCUGGCGGCGUGCCUAAUACAUGCAAGUCGAACGCUGAAGGAGGAGCUUGCUUCUCUGGAUGAGUUGUGAACGGGUGAGUAACGCGUAGGUAACCUGCCUGGUAGCGGGGGAUAACUAUUGGAAACGAUAGCUAAUACCGCAUAAUAGCAGUUGUUGCAUGACAACUGUUUGAAAGGUGCAAUUGCACCACUACCAGAUGGACCUGCGUUGUAUUAGCUAGUUGGUGGGGUAACGGCUCACCAAGGCGACGAUACAUAGCCGACCUGAGAGGGUGAUCGGCCACACUGGGACUGAGACACGGCCCAGACUCCUACGGGAGGCAGCAGUAGGGAAUCUUCGGCAAUGGACGGAAGUCUGACCGAGCAACGCCGCGUGAGUGAAGAAGGUUUUCGGAUCGUAAAGCUCUGUUGUAAGAGAAGAACGAGUGUGAGAGUGGAAAGUUCACACUGUGACGGUAUCUUACCAGAAAGGGACGGCUAACUACGUG